rnacentral:rRNA from 1 species
UACGGAGGGUGCAAGCGUUGUCCGGAUUCAUUGGGUUUAAAGGGUCCGUAGGCGGUUUUGUAAGUCAGUGGUGAAAGCCCAUCGCUCAACGGUGGAACGGCCAUUGAUACUGCAAGACUUGAAUUAUUGGGAAGCAACUAGAAUAUGUAGUGUAGCGGUGAAAUGCUUAGAGAUUACAUGGAAUACCAAUUGCGAAGGCAGGUUGCUACCAAUACAUUGACGCUGAUGGACGAAAGCGUGGGGAGCGAA